rnacentral:rRNA from 1 species
AGAGUUUGAUCAUGGCUCAGGACGAACGCUGGCGGCGUGCUUAACACAUGCAAGUCGAACGGAAAGGCCCUUCGGGGUACUCGAGUGGCGAACGGGUGAGUAACACGUGGGUGAUCUGCCCUGCACUUUGGGAUAAGCCUGGGAAACUGGGUCUAAUACCGAAUACACCCUUCUGGCUGCAUGGUCUGGUUGGGGAAAGCUUUUGCGGUGUGGGAUGGGCCCGCGGCCUAUCAGCUUGUUGGUGAGGUUACGGCUCACCAAGGCGACGACGGGUAGCCGGCCUGAGAGGGUGACCGGCCACACUGGGACUGAGAUACGGCCCAGACUCCUACGGGAGGCAGCAGUGGGGAAUAUUGCACAAUGGGCGCAAGCCUGAUGCAGCGACGCCGCGUGAGGGAUGACGGCCUUCGGGUUGUAAACCUCUUUCGCCAGGGACGAAGCGCAAGUGACGGUACCUGGAGAAGAAGGACCGGCCAACUACGUGCCAGCAGCCGCGGUAAUACGUAGGGUCCGAGCGUUGUCCGGAAUUACUGGGCGUAAAGAGCUCGUAGGUGGUUUGUCGCGUUGUUCGUGAAAACUCACAGCUCAACUGUGGGCGUGCGGGCGAUACGGGCAGACUGGAGUACUGCAGGGGAGACUGGAAUUCCUGGUGUAGCGGUGGAAUGCGCAGAUAUCAGGAGGAACACCGGUGGCGAAGGCGGGUCUCUGGGCAGUAACUGACGCUGAGGAGCGAAAGCGUGGGGGAGCGAACAGGAUUAGAUACCCUGGUAGUCCACGCCGUAAACGGUGGGUACUAGGUGUGGGUUUCCUUCCUUGGGAUCCGUGCCGUAGCUAACGCAUUAAGUACCCCGCCUGGGGAGUACGGCCGCAAGGCUAAAACUCAAAGAAAUUGACGGGGGCCCGCACAAGCGGCGGAGCAUGUGGAUUAAUUCGAUGCAACGCGAAGAACCUUACCUGGGUUUGACAUGCACAGGACGUGCCUAGAGAUAGGUAUUCCCUUGUGGCCUGUGUGCAGGUGGUGCAUGGCUGUCGUCAGCUCGUGUCGUGAGAUGUUGGGUUAAGUCCCGCAACGAGCGCAACCCUUAUCUUAUGUUGCCAGCGCGUAAUGGCGGGGACUCGUGAGAGACUGCCGGGGUCAACUCGGAGGAAGGUGGGGAUGACGUCAAGUCAUCAUGCCCCUUAUGUCCAGGGCUUCACACAUGCUACAAUGGCCGGUACAAAGGGCUGCGAUGCCGUGAGGUGGAGUGAAUCCUUUCAAAGCCGGUCUCAGUUCGGAUCGGGGUCUGCAACUCGACCCCGUGAAGUCGGAGUCGCUAGUAAUCGCAGAUCAGCAACGCUGCGGUGAAUACGUUCCCGGGCCUUGUACACACCGCCCGU